UACAAUUUAAGUAUUGCUGUGGAAGUUUGGUUCCUUCAUUUGUUAUGAAAUUUAAGUAUUGCUGCGGAAGUUUGCUAUUUUUAUGUAACCCUUUUUAAAUGGGUAUGUAUAUCUUACUUUCUUAGGAAGAAGAAGUUUUAGAUAGAUGUUCUACUGUAAAACUAGUAGAUGUUCUACAUGUGCCUCGUACAGAAGCAACUAGUUUUGGUCCUGCGUUUAUUGAGGAUUGGAAGCUUGAAUCAUGGCUGAAGAUCUGGACAAACCGUUGUUGGAUCCUGAAUAGUGAUGGCAUCGAUUUGGAACACUUACCACUGGAAGAAGUUUUUGAACAACUGAGAACAUCAGCAAGAGGCCUUUCAUCCGAUGAUGCUGAAUGCAGAUUGCACAUUUUUGUCAGCAUCUUUCCACCUCCGAAUGUGUAGAAGAGGCUACCUGUGUUGAGAAGUGAUUAGGUUGACGUACAUUGCUGUCUUAUUUCCUAAUCAUUUAGGCUUUUGAGUUUUAGUGGUUCUCUAAUGGGCUAAUAUUCAAAUGCUGGUUUUAUUUGAGACGUAGUUUUAUUUACCCAUCAAAACCUGCUUAAGUACAACAAUUAUGAUUAAUCGACAAUUGAAAAGAA